UAGAGUUUGAUCCUGGCUCAGGACGAACGCUGGCGGCGUGCCUAAUACAUGCAAGUCGAGCGGAGCAACGGUUUCCUUCGGGAAACCAUUAGCUUAGCGGCGGACGGGUGAGUAAUACGUAGGUAACCUGCCCUUAAGACCGGGAUAACUCACGGAAACGUGGGCUAAUACCGGAUAGUCGAUUUCCUCGCAUGAGGGAAUCGGGAAAGGCGGAGCAAUCUGCCACUUAUGGAUGGACCUACGGCGCAUUAGCUAGUUGGUGGGGUAACGGCUCACCAAGGCGACGAUGCGUAGCCGACCUGAGAGGGUGAUCGGCCACACUGGGACUGAGACACGGCCCAGACUCCUACGGGAGGCAGCAGUAGGGAAUCUUCCGCAAUGGACGCAAGUCUGACGGAGCAACGCCGCGUGAGUGAAGAAGGUUUUCGGAUCGUAAAACUCUGUUGUUAGGGAAGAACCCGUACCGUUCAAAUAGGGCGGUACGCUGACGGUACCUAACCAGAAAGCCACGGCUAACUACGUGCCAGCAGCCGCGGUAAU
rnacentral:rRNA from 1 species